GAAUGUGAGGAUAAUCCAUUGGCAACACAUCAUUUCCUUGAUCAACAUGAUUGAUGAGGCUUAUAUGACUGGCUAGGAAUGUUUCUCUUUCCUCCCUCAUAGUUCCAUGUGCAUCCCUUCCAAAGCCACAUGCUCAAUCAAAGAAGAUGGAUGACUCCCCAGAGAGAGUAGGGCUGUUCUUCGGUCAAGGAUGUGGAGAUGUUGUGUUUCCCCACCAGAACCUUUGUUCCCGUGGUUCUCAAACCUUAACAUGCAUCAGGAUCUCCUGAAGGGGUUAUUAAUGCACACAUUGCUGGAUUUCUACUCCAGAUUUUCAGUCAUU
rfam:Pteropus alecto contig60715, whole genome shotgun sequence.